rnacentral:rRNA from 1 species
GAUGAACGCUGGCGGCGUGCCUAAUACAUGCAAGUCGAGCGAACAGAUGAGGAGCUUGCUCCUCUGACGUUAGCGGCGGACGGGUGAGUAACACGUGGAUAACCUACCUAUAAGACUGGGAUAACUUCGGGAAACCGGAGCUAAUACCGGAUAAUAUAUUGAACCGCAUGGUUCAAUAGUGAAAGACGGUUUUGCUGUCACUUAUAGAUGGAUCCGCGCCGCAUUAGCUAGUUGGUAAGGUAACGGCUUGCCAAGGCAACGAUGCGUAGCCGACCUGAGAGGGUGAUCGGCCACACUGGAACUGAGACACGGUCCAGACUCCUACGGGAGGCAGCAGUAGGGAAUCUUCCGCAAUGGGCGAAAGCCUGACGGAGCAACGCCGCGUGAGUGAUGAAGGUCAUCGGAUCGUAAAACUCUGUUAUUAGGGAAGAACAAAUGUGUAAGUAACUAUGCACGUCUUGACGGUACCUAAUCAGAAAGCCACGGCUAACUACGUG